rnacentral:rRNA from 1 species
AUUGAACGCUGGCGGCAUGCUUUACACAUGCAAGUCGAACGGCAGCGCGGGCUUCGGCCUGGCGGCGAGUGGCGAACGGGUGAGUAAUACAUCGGAACGUGCCCAGUAGUGGGGGAUAGCUCGGCGAAAGCCGGAUUAAUACCGCAUACGACCUGAGGGUGAAAGCGGGGGUUCUUCGGACCUCGCGCUUUUGUAGCUGCCGAUGGCAGAUUUGCUAGUUGGUGGGGUAAAGGCCUACCAAGGCGACGAUCUGUAGCUGGUCUGAGAGGACGACCAGCCACACGGGGAGUGAGACACGGCCCAGACGCCUACGGGAGGCAGCAGUGGGGAAUUUUGGACAAUGGGCGAAAGCCUGAUCCAGCAAUGCCGCGUGUGUGAUGAAGGCCUUCGGGUUGUAAAGCACUUUUGGCGGGAACGAAAAGGACUGUGCCAAUACCACGGUUCGAUGACGGUACCCGAAGAAUAAGCACCGGCUAACUACGUG